GUCACUCAAAGAAAGCCACAGAAACCACAUUAUGACUUCAAAGCAUCAAGAUGUUGAGUUUUAAAGCUAGCAAUUAGCUCUUUCAGCCAGUUCUAAUCCAUCCUCAAAGUGUUUUCUAUUCA